rnacentral:rRNA from 1 species
AAAUGCAAGUCGAGCGGAUGACGGGAGCUUGCUCGUUGAUUCAGCGGCGGACGGGUGAGUAAUGCCUAGGAAUCUGCCUGGUAGUGGGGGACAACGUUUCGAAAGGAACGCUAAUACCGCAUACGUCCUACGGGAGAAAGCAGGGGACCUUCGGGCCUUGCGCUAUCAGAUGAGCCUAGGUCGGAUUAGCUAGUUGGUGGGGUAAUGGCUCACCAAGGCGACGAUCCGUAACUGGUCUGAGAGGAUGAUCAGUCACACUGGAACUGAGACACGGUCCAGACUCCUACGGGAGGCAGCAGUGGGGAAUAUUGGACAAUGGGCGAAAGNCUGAUCCAGCCAUGCCGCGUGUGUGGAGAAGGUCUUCGGAUUGUAAAGCACUUUAAGUUGGGAGGAAGGGCAGUAAGCUAAUACCUUGCUGUUUUGACGUUACCGACAGAAUAAGCACCGGCUAACUCUGUGCCAGCAGCCGCGGUAAUACAGAGGGUGCAAG